GGUUCGUUGGUGUAAUGGCUAAUCCCGCACUUGCGGGAUCUAUCUGAUGCUGCGGGUUCGACUCCCGUACGAACCG
rnacentral:tRNA from 1 species